UAGGGAAUCUUCCGCAAUGGACGCAAGUCUGACGGAGCAACGCCGCGUGAGUGAAGAAGGAUUUCGGUUCGUAAAACUCUGUUGUUAGAGAAGAACAGCGCAUAGAGUAACUGUUAUGCGUGUGACGGUAUCUAACCAGAAAGCCACGGCUAACUACGUGCCAGCAGCCGCGGUAAUGCGUAGGUGGCAAGCGUUGUCCGGAUUUAUUGGGCGUAAAGCGAGCGCAGGCGGUCAAUUAAGUCUGAUGUGAAAGCCCCCGGCUCAACCGGGGAGGGUCAUUGGAAACUGGUUGACUUGAGUGCAGAAGAGGAGAGUGGAAUUCCAUGUGUAGCGGUGAAAUGCGUAGAUAUAUGGAGGAACACCAGUGGCGAAGGCGACUCUCUGGUCUGUAACUGACGCUGAGGCUCGAAAGCGUGGGUAGCAAACAGG
rnacentral:rRNA from 1 species